rnacentral:lncRNA from 1 species
GAGACGAGGCGUCCCUGGGCCCGCGGGAGAGUUGUGUCACGGGGCACUGAGCUGUUCCCUGCGCUAAGUGCUGGUAAUGAUGUAUACCUGGCAGCUGACCGUCAAAUCUUAUGAAGGAUUAAAACAUAAAGUUUGCAUUAAAGGUCAAAACAGUCACAAGCCUGCUCAAAUUCGGAAAGAGGGGACGGAAAUGGAACCUCUUCAUGGGAGGAAGAAACAGGGUCUUGCUCUGUUGCCCUGGCUGGAGUGCAAUGGUAUGAUCAUAGCUCACAGUAGCCUUGAACUCCUGGGCCCAAGCCAUCCUCCUACCUCAGCAACCAGAGUAGCUGGGAUUACAGGCGAAUGCCACCACACCUGGAAUUGGAAAAAUGAAUGUAAUUUGACAUAUGUCUUGAGUCUGGUUGGCUUCUGAGGAACUUGUGUGCAUCUCAUCAGUAUGCAUCUUAAGAACUGAAAUGACCCUACUUCAGCAUUGUGAGAAGACAUGCAUUCUCUUCGUAUAAAUAAUGUGGAUCUUACAUGUAAAGUAUUAUAAAGAUUAGCUGUUUAACAACUUAAAUAAGCUUGUGAAUAAUAAAUUAAUAACAAUGUUAUGCUAAUACGUAACUAUGAUAUUUGCUGAACAAAAUAAAUUUGCCUACUUUGGAAGCAGAUUGGGUGGUUUAAUAUAUCAGCAAAAGAGUGUUUUUAAAAAAUAUCAAAGUUCUGUUAAUCAAAACGUUUAUUGUAGGACAGUUAGUAAUGUUUUGUUUGCCAACUUAUAUUACAAAGUCUCUGUCUUAAGUGUUUCCUUGCAAAUAAAAUGACAAUACUGCCUUACAUUUUAUUACUUUAGAGUUUGCAAAAUAUCUUCAUUAUAAUAUUUCAUUUAGUAGACAUGCCUAUGGGAACAUUACUUCCAGAAUUAAAAACAUUAUUUUUGUUUUGGUAUAUUUUUAAACUACAAAUGAUAGAAAGGCAAGUAAAUGUAAGUUUUUCUCUAGUUAUUUGUUCAAAUGCUAAUUUAAAACAUUUGUACAUUUCUAAUACAAACAUUCCUUAUUUGAGAAAAAAUGGAUUUCUUAAAAACAAAAUGCAUUUUAAAGCAGAGAGACAGGGCAUUGAGCUGAAAAUGGUGGCUGGAAGUUGGGAUCUGUAAGAGAAGUUGAAUGUGCCCCGAGGCAUAAAGCUGCUAAUUUUGUUUUAUUGGAUUUUACUGUAGCUAUUAAUAUAUUUUGCUGGAGAUUUAUGUGAUCAAUUUAUCUUAUGGCCAGAACUAAUUCCCUUAGUAUAUUUUAUUAGAAUAUGUGACUUUUUCUAAAUUUAGCUUUAUUUUUCAUAUUUUCCAUAAAUGGCAAAGAUUCUAUGUUUCCAGACAUGUUAAGUAUUGCAAGAAUUAUUGGAGCACCUAAAGAUAAAUAAUAUCAAAAUAGUGUCAUUGUUUCCCUUAGUUUCUCCUUCUCCCCCACAAAUAAACCAAGAGGUAUUUAGUUAUACUAUUGCAUGUCUCUAGCUUUAUUGGAUUCUUCCAUGAAAGAAAAAUGGAUUACAUUUUUGGUUGUGUGGCCCUCGUUGCCCUAUUGCACUUUUGAUAAUAUUUGCCUGUGACAAGUAGUUAUUUUUCAUUACCACAUUCAAUCAUGGGUAAUAAAAUAUUUUAAUAAUGGUGAAUGUGAAGUUAAUUAAUAACCCGCAGGUAUGGCAGCUAGACAGGAUUGCUCUCCAUCUCAAACACAAGGAAAACAAUUCCAUCGGUAGUUAUAAAUUUGCAUAUGAAUGUCAAAUAUAUGAGGUUUUGAAUAAAAAUCAUUUCUGAGUAAAA